rnacentral:rRNA from 1 species
GACGAACGCUGGCGGCGUGCUUAACACAUGCAAGUCGAACGAAGUGGCGAACGGGUGAGUAACGCGUAAUCAACCUGCCCUUCAGAGGGGGACAACAGUUGGAAACGACUGCUAAUACCGCAUACUGAAGGAGGGGUUUGCGUCUGAUUAGCUAGUUGGAGGGGUAACGGCCCACCAAGGCGAUGAUCAGUAGCCGGGCGGAGAGGAUGAACGGCCAAAAUGGGACUGAGACACGGCCCAGAAACGGACGGGAGGGAGCAGGGGGGAAACGUGCGAAAUGGAAGAAAGUCGGACGGAGCAACGGCGCGUGAGUGAUGACGGAGGUCGGGUUGUAAAGCUCUGUUAAUCGGGACGCGGUACCGGAAUAGAAAGCCACGGCUAACUACGUGCCAGCAGCCGCGGUAAUAC